rnacentral:rRNA from 1 species
GACAGAGGGUGCAAACGUUGUUCGGAAUUACUGGGCGUAAAGCGUGUGUAGGCGGUCCGCUAAGUCGGGUGUGAAAGCCCUGGGCUCAACCCAGGAAGUGCACUCGAAACUGGCGGGCUAGAGUAUCGGAGAGGUUGGUGGAAUUCUCGGUGUAGAGGUGAAAUUCGUAGAUAUCGAGAGGAACACCGGUGGCGAAGGCGGCCAACUGGACGAAUACUGACGCUGAGACACGAAGGCGUGGGGAGCAAACAGG